rnacentral:rRNA from 1 species
CCGGCGACCGGCGCACGGGUGAGUAACACGUAUACAACCUGGCCGUCACAGGUGGAUAACCGGAAGAAAUUCCGACUAAUACAGCAUAACACUCCUGAGGGACAUCCUUCGGGAGUCAAAGGAGGCAACUCCGGUGACGGAUGGGCAUGCGGCGCAUUAGGUAGUUGGUAGGGUAACGGCCUACCAAGCCGACGAUGCGUAGGGGUUCUGAGAGGAAGGUCCCCCACAUUGGAACUGAGACACGGUCCAAACUCCUACGGAAGGCAGCAG